rnacentral:sRNA from 1 species
UGAUACCAGGGUCGAAGGUCAAAAGUUGUUCGUGCUUGCACGAUAACACUUUUGACUUUACGACCCGCACAAACAUGAGAAAGUAGCAAUUUACAAAGUAAAUUAGCGGAUUUCGAAUGUUUGCAGAAUUGCGUGAGCUGUUUACAGCGAAGCAAUUCGUGGGUAUCG